UGCUCGUCGAGAUUCAAAAAAUUAAGUGUG
rnacentral:piRNA from 1 species